CCGGUGUCUUGUACAAAGGCCUGCGCUCUCUGUGCGGAGGUCUUCUGGCAAAGGCACCCAGAUGC
rnacentral:sRNA from 1 species